AUCGAACGCUGGCGGCAGGCCUAACACAUGCAAGUCGAACGAGUGGCGGACGGGUGAGUAAUGUCUGGGAAACUGCCUGAUGGAGGGGGCUAACUACUGGAAACGGUAGCUAAUACCGCAUACCAUCGGAUGUGCCCAGAUGGGAUUAGCUAGUCGGGGGGGUAAAGGCUCACCUAGGCGACGAUCCCUAGCUGGUCUGAGAGGAUGACCAGCCACACUGGCACUGAGACACGGUCCAGACUCCUACGGGAGGCAGCAGUGGGGAAUAUUGCGCAAUGGGCGCAAGCCUGAUGCAGCCAUGCCGCGUGUGUGAAGAAGGCCUUCGGGUUGUAAAGUACUUUCAGCGGGGAGGCGUUACCCGCAGAAGAAGCACCGGCUAACUCCGUGCCAGCAGCCGCGGUAAUUC
rnacentral:rRNA from 1 species